rnacentral:rRNA from 1 species
AUACGUAGGUGGCGAGCGUUGUCCGGAAUCACUGGGCGUAAAGGGCGCGUAGGCGGUCAUUUUUAGUCAGGUGUGUAAACUGUCGGCUUAACCGGGAGAUUGCACCUGAUACUGGAUGACUUGAGUGCAGGAGAGGGCAGUGGAAUUCCUAGUGUAGCGGUGAAAUGCGUAGAUAUUAGGAGGAACACCAGUGGCGAAGGCGGCUGCCUGGACUGUAACUGACGCUGAGGCGCGAAAGCGUGGGGAGC